CCUCUCAUGGCGUAGGGGUAACGCGACCUAACUAGAGAUCGGGGAGUCGUGAGUUCGAUUCUCACUGAGAAGA
rnacentral:tRNA from 1 species